rnacentral:rRNA from 1 species
CGGACGGGUGAGUAAUACAUAGGAAUCUGCCCAGUAGCGGGGGACAGCUCGGAGAAAUCCGAGCUAAUACCGCAUACGCCCUACGGGGGAAAGCAGGGGAUCUUCGGACCUUGCACUAUUGGAUGAGCCUAUGUCAGAUUAGCUUGUUGGUGGGGUAACGGCCUACCAAGGCGACGAUCUGUAGCUGGUCUGAGAGGACGAUCAGCCACACUGGGACUGAGACACGGCCCAG